rnacentral:rRNA from 1 species
AGAGUUUGAUCCUGGCUCAGGACGAACGCUGGCGGCGUGCCUAAUACAUGCAAGUCGAGCGAGCUUGCCUAGAUGAUUUUAGUGCUUGCACUAAAUGAAACUAGAUACAAGCGAGCGGCGGACGGGUGAGUAACACGUGGGUAACCUGCCCAAGAGACUGGGAUAACACCUGGAAACAGAUGCUAAUACCGGAUAACAACACUAGACGCAUGUCUAGAGUUUGAAAGAUGGUUCUGCUAUCACUCUUGGAUGGACCUGCGGUGCAUUAGCUAGUUGGUAAGGUAACGGCUUACCAAGGCAAUGAUGCAUAGCCGAGUUGAGAGACUGAUCGGCCACAUUGGGACUGAGACACGGCCCAAACUCCUACGGGAGGCAGCAGUAGGGAAUCUUCCACAAUGGACGAAAGUCUGAUGGAGCAACGCCGCGUGAGUGAAGAAGGGUUUCGGCUCGUAAAGCUCUGUUGGUAGUGAAGAAAGAUAGAGGUAGUAACUGGCCUUUAUUUGACGGUAAUUACUUAGAAAGUCACGGCUAACUACGUGCCAGCAGCCGCGGUAAUACGUAGGUGGCAAGCGUUGUCCGGAUUUAUUGGGCGUAAAGCGAGUGCAGGCGGUUCAAUAAGUCUGAUGUGAAAGCCUUCGGCUCAACCGGAGAAUUGCAUCAGAAACUGUUGAACUUGAGUGCAGAAGAGGAGAGUGGAACUCCAUGUGUAGCGGUGGAAUGCGUAGAUAUAUGGAAGAACACCAGUGGCGAAGGCGGCUCUCUGGUCUGCAACUGACGCUGAGGCUCGAAAGCAUGGGUAGCGAACAGGAUUAGAUACCCUGGUAGUCCAUGCCGUAAA